ACUUUGCGUAUUGGAUACAGCAAUUGACACAGAAUUAGUCAAUACACCGUUUGGCAAGUCCAAGCACGUAUUGAUGCGCUUGAGUCUUUGCCAACUCAUAAUCCAGCGGGCAUUAAACAAUAUCGAUCUUUGGAUUCGACGAUGGGUCAAGGUGAUCUUUGAAAAUAAGACAGAAUCAUUUGGAUCGUGUGUAACCAGCCUGAGGUUUUAGACAAUGACAUUUUUAUUAGACAAUGCUUUCGAACAAUCGUAUUACAUUAAUAUGUAAGAUAUGAGUCAAUCGUGUAUCAGACGUCUAUGGUAAACGUUUAGAAGCCGAUGACGUACAGACGUGAAAUAUCGAACGAGAGGAAUAGGAGGAUGCUUUUUUAUGAAAAGCAGAUGUUUCGAAGAUGUUUACUUACUUUCUCUUGCUGAAAGGCGAAACGUUCGUCUGAAAGUAGCAGCGACUUAAAACUUAAUAGAAUAUUGAUAAAAGAAUAACAAAUAGAAAGAAACAAAAAAAAAAAAAAAAGAAAAAAAUAACAAAGUUAUAAUAUUCUAAAUUUAUGAUAGAAAUUAUCUAUACAAUGUUAGACAAAUAGAUUUAAUUAUAUCGAACGAAUACAAUUGUUCGCAACUUCGACAACUUAGAUACUCAACUACUAUCUCUCAUC